CCUACGGGAGGCAGCAGUGGGGAAUAUUGGGCAAUGGGCGCAAGCCUGACCCAGCAACGCCGCGUGAAGGAAGAAGGCUCUCGGGUUGUAAACUUCUUUUCUGAGGGACGAAGAAAGUGACGGUACCUCAGGAAUAAGCCACGGCUAACUACGUGCCAGCAGCCGCGGUAAUACGGAGGUGGCAAGCGUUAUCCGGAUUUAUUGGGUGUAAAGGGCGUGUAGGCGGGAAAGCAAGUCAGAUGUGAAAACUCAGGGCUCAACCCUGAGCCUGCAUUUGAAACUGUUUUUCUUGAGUGCUGGAGAGGCAAGCGGAAUUCCGGGUGUAGCGGUGAAAUGCGUAGAUAUACGGAAGAACACCAAUGGCGAAGGCAGAUUACUGGACAGUAACUGACGCUGAGGCGCGAAAGCGUGGGGAGCAAACAGGAUUAGAUACCCUUGUAGUC
rnacentral:rRNA from 1 species